rnacentral:lncRNA from 1 species
CUCUGCUUCCACCUGGUUACGUUUGGUGAGGAACAGACGGACCGCAUAAAAAGCGUUUUGCCCCGUGACAGUUCUGGCUGUACAUCAGGGACAGGCAUGAGUAAAACCGAAGCACACAACCCGGUGUUGGCGACGCAGUUCGUUCCACGCUGUUCGUGGUCCUGUGUGCUCCGACAAACGAUUUGCGAUGUGGAGAGAUUCCCGUUCUUUCGGAAGACAAAUGGAUACUUUAGAAAGAUUUCAAAGAUGUGUCUUCUCUUCGCUGACUGCGAGUACGCACUUGCGACCCAGGAACAAGACCGUGCCUCCUGGCCUGAGGGAUUUUUCUUGGGUGUUUGUCACGGUUGUCCGAUGACGCUUUUCCCUCUGCUUUCUUGAUUCAGGACAAAAUAUAAGCCAGCUACACAUAGGAAGGGGAAUCGUCAGCUCACAAUGACCCUGCUACCAAUCGCCUCCUGCCAAAACAACGAAGCGAAUGCGCGGUUGUUCCCUAUCCGCGAAGGAAACAGCAACGCCACGCAGAAAUUUGCCUUCUACGUACAACGUUGCACUGUUGCCACCCACCUCUGCGCGCCUAUUGUUCACGUGUCACAAAGAAAUACCCGACCAACGCAGUGCACAGAGAUGGUAGUAAAGACCGAGUCCAGAACGAGCACUCGCUUUUAUUACAGAAACGAGGUAGUGUUUCCGUCCGUCCUUGUCAUGUGAACGUGUAUCCAAACAGUCGCCCGUGGAUCAACAAUCACAAGAAAACGUGGGCAACUGAAUGAGAUACACAAUGAUUCGCUAAACCGCAUCCGUCUCCCUUCAGGAAUACCCUGAACCGUUAACACCAACAGCUACCUACUGACCGAAUGAACCAGGCGACGUCUUUGGGGACAACACCGGCCACACCCAUACCUUUCUCGUGGAACGUCUACGUUCAGUUCAGUGAAGCCUGGUGGUUGCAGUGUUGUUCUAGGAUUUCCGCUUUCUUCUUUUGGAAGAACGGCUGAUCUCGACUUUCCGUCCUUCCAAGAACUGUGCUUAUGUACUG